rnacentral:rRNA from 1 species
AACGAACGCUGGCGGCAUGCCUAACACAUGCAAGUCGAACGAGACCUUCGGGUCUAGUGGCGCACGGGUGCGUAACGCGUGGGAACCUGCCCUUAGGCUCGGAAUAACUCCCCGAAAGGGGUGCUAAUACCGGAUAAUGUCUUCGGACCAAAGAUUUAUCGCCUUUGGAUGGGCCCGCGUUGGAUUAGCUAGUUGGUAGGGUAAAAGCCUACCAAGGCGACGAUCCAUAGCUGGUCUGAGAGGAUGAUCAGCCACACUGGGACUGAGACACGGCCCAGACUCCUACGGGAGGCAGCAGUGGGGGAUAUUGGACAAUGGGCGAAAGCCUGAUCCAGCAAUGCCGCGUGAGUGAUGAAGGCCUUAGGGUUGUAAAGCUCUUUUACCCGGGAUGAUAAUGACAGUACCGGGAGAAUAAGCUCCGGCUAACUCCGUG